CAAGUACUCCCUCCGUCCAGAAUUACUUGUCAUCAAAAUGGAUGUGUCUAGAACUAGAAUACAUCUAGAUACAUCCAUUUCAAGGACAAGUAUUUUCGGACGGAGGGAGUACAAG
rnacentral:pre_miRNA from 1 species